AACGGGUGAGUAACACGUGAGCAACCUGCCCCAAGCUUUGGGAUAACCCUCGGAAACGGGGGCUAAUACCGAAUAUUACUUCUGGCCGCAUGGCUGGGGGUGGAAAGUUUUUCGGCUUGGGAUGGGCUCGCGGCCUAUCAGCUUGUUGGUGGGGUGAUGGCCUACCAAGGCGACGACGGGUAGCCGGCCUGAGAGGGCGACCGGCCACACUGGGACUGAGACACGGCCCAGACUCCUACGGGAGGCAGCAGUGGGGAAUAUUGCACAAUGGGCGGAAGCCUGAUGCAGCGACGCCGCGUGAGGGAUGACGGCCUUCGGGUUGUAAACCUCUUUCAGCAGGGACGAAGCGGAAGUGACGGUACCUGCAGAAGAAGCGCCGGCCAACUACGUGCCAGCAGCCGCGGUAAGACGUAGGGCGCGAGCGUUGUCCGGAUUUAUUGGGCGUAAAGAGCUCGUAGGCGGCUUGUCGCGUCGACCGUGAAAACUUGGGGCUCAACCCCAAGCCUGCGGUCGAUACGGGCAGGCUAGAGUUCGGUAGGGGAGACUGGAAUUCCUGGUGUAGCGGUGAAAUGCGCAGAUAUCAGGAGGAACACCGGUGGCGAAGGCGGGUCUCUGGGCCGAUACUGACGCUGAGGAGCGAAAGCGUGGGGAGCGAACAGGAUUAGAUACCCUGGUAGUCCACGCUGUAAACGUUGGGCGCUAGGUGUGGGGGGCCUCUCCGGUUCCCUGUGCCGCAGCUAACGCAUUAAGCGCCCCGCCUGGGGAGUACGGCCGCAAGGCUA
rnacentral:rRNA from 1 species